rnacentral:rRNA from 1 species
ACGAACGCUGGCGGCGUGCUUAACACAUGCCAGUCGAACGGAAAGGCCCUGCUUGCAGGGUACUCGAGUGGCGAACGGGUGAGUAACACGGGGGUGAUCUGCCCUGCACUUCGGGAUAAGCUUGGGAAACUGGGUCUAAUACCGGAUAGGAGCCAUCUUUAGUGUGGUGGUUGGAAAGUUUUUUCGGUGUAGGAUGAGCUCGCGGCCUAUCAGCUUGUUGGUGGGGUAAUGGCCUACCAAGGCGGCGACGGGUAGCCGGCCUGAGAGGGUGUACGGCCACAUUGGGACUGGGAAACGGCCCAGACUCCUACGGGAGGCAGCAGUGGGGAAUUUUGCACAAUGGGCGCAAGCCUGAUGCAGCGACGCCGCGUGGGGGAUGAAGGCCUUCGGGUUGUAAACUCCUUUCGCUAGGGACGAAGCUUUUUUGUGACGGUACCUAGAUAAGAAGCACCGGCUGACUACGUG